GACGAACGCUGGCGGCGUGCCUAAUACAUGCAAGUUGAGCGAUGAAGAUUGGUGCUUGCACCAAUUUGAAGAGCAGCGAACGGGUGAGUAACGCGUGGGGAAUCUGCCUUUGAGCGGGGGACAACAUUUGGAAACGAAUGCUAAUACCGCAUAACAACUUUAAACAUAAGUUUUAAGUUUGAAAGAUGCAAUUGCAUCACUCAAAGAUGAUCCCGCGUUGUAUUAGCUAGGUGGUGAGGUAAAGGCUCACCAAGGCGAUGAUACAUAGCCGACCUGAGAGGGUGGACAGCCACAUUGGGACUGUGACACGCCACAAACGGCUUCGGGAGGCAGCAGUAGGGAAUCUUCGGGAAUGGACGAAAGUCAGACCGAGAAGGGCCGCGUGAGUGAAGAAGGUUGUCGGAUCGUAAAACUCGGUUGGUAGAGAAGAAAGUUGGUGAGAGUGGAAAGCUCAUCAAGUGACGGUAACUAGCCAGAAAGGGACGGCUAACUACGUG
rnacentral:rRNA from 1 species